GCAUGAAGCCAGUCUGACGACCACAUCUGUCACCUCGUUACUCUGUCGGGAAGGUUCAUUGAAUCUGGCUCACUAGGCACGUCUGGUCUUCAUCUCUCAAUAUUUCAAAUGGAUCCCUAAUAUAAACGCAUGCUUCAUCCAAGACAAUGGCACUCCCCAGUAGAGGAGGACCAAUCUCUGGUCAUGAGUACAAGAGUAGUUAUGUUCCCUCGCUCGAACCCCCCAAACAACCUCAAUCUAUGGUUUUGAUGAAAAGAAAAUGAUUUCAUCCCCAAAUUCUACUUAUUAGGUAUUU
rnacentral:snRNA from 14 species